UGAUAAAGCCCUUCACAGUUGCAGAAGUCUCUGCAGUCUCCUCUGUCUUCUCUCCCUCUUGAGCGCACGGCAGAGUGAUUCUCUGAUAUGAUGCAUUUGGCUGACAGAACAGACACAAUGAUAGUCCCCUCUGGGAAGCAGCUCCAAGAGCCAACUGCUGUCCUCUCUGACAGAUGACAAGGGAGGAGGAUGUGAAUGAACCAGGUACACCUGUCCUUUAAUAGCCUGACACCUAUAACAACCAGCACCCCAGUGGCCAUGGAAACAAAGAACACGGUUGGGAUGGGAAUCACCACGAGACUAUGGGGAGGUUUCGGUGAGACCCUCUGUGUGUUGCUGGGGAACACAUGAAAAUAUUAGCUGCGCUUCAUCAUGUAUCCUGGUUCUUCUUCAGCCCAAUACCUAAGACCUCCUUAGGGGCAGGACGGGAGAAUAAGAGAGUCAAAACCUUAGCUUGCCUUUUAAACAUCCAAAGUCAGCUCUGAGUUAUAGGAAACUGAAGGAUUUGGCAUGAAAUUUACAGACGGUCUAAAAACUUUGAAGACCUGUGAUAGGUCAGACCUGGUUUUCCCUGCUUCGGAGGAGAGGAGGGUGCAAGAUCAAGGAAGGGUGCCAAGAUCAAGGAAGGGUGCACUUCGAGAGGAGUCACAUGGGCAGCAACGGAGGUGGAUCCUGGGGGCUUCCCUGGAAACAGCCCUGCUCCUCCACCACCCACCAGAUGGACCCUGCAGAGGAUGGAGAAUUGGACCGGGACCUCAGACAGGGUGGCUGGGCGGCAGGGCUGCAGCAGGAAGAGUGUGACUAUCUGCGGAUGAUCGCGGUACAGCAUGAGCAGUGCCUGGAGGAGGUGCAUCUGGAGAAUGAAACAGCAGGCUGCGGCAAGAUGUGGGACAACCUCACCUGCUGGCCAGCCACCCCUAGGGGCCAGGUGGUUGUCUUGGCCUGUCCCCUCAUCUUUAAGCUCUUCUCGCCCAUUCAAGGCCGCAACGUGAGCCGCAGCUGCACCGAAGCGGGCUGGACGCCCCUGGAGCCUGGCCCCUACCCCGUUGCCUGUGGCUUGGAUGACAAUUCAUCGAGUUUGGAUGAGCAGCAGCAGACAGUGUUCUACAGUUCUGUGAAGACCGGCUACACCAUCGGCUACAGCCUGUCCCUCGCCACCCUUCUGGUCGCCACGGCCAUCCUGAGCCUGUUCAGGAAGCUCCACUGCACACGGAACUACAUCCAUAUGCACCUCUUCAUAUCCUUCAUCCUGAGGGCCGCCGCCGUCUUCAUCAAAGACUUGGCCCUCUUCAACAGUGGGGAGACGGACCAUUGCUCCAAGGGCUCGGGCUCUGCUCAUCAUGCCCCCCUUUCUCCUCCCCCCAUGGCCACCUGGAGCCAGUCCCACCCCACACCGCCCUGCUCUUCGUUUCUUCCCCGGCCAUCAGUCACUCUGGACCUGCCUAGGGAAGGGAGACUGAGAGCCUUUAAAGAAGUCAUUGCCCUGCUCACUAAGGAGCCCAUCUCCAGGUGGGCUGCAAGGCAGCCGUGGUCUUAUUCCAGUACUGUGUCAUGGCCAACUUCUUCUGGCUGCUGGUGGAGGGCCUCUACCUGCACACCCUGCUCGCCGUCUCCUUCUUCUCCGAGCGGAAGUACUUCUGGGGGUACAUAUUCAUCGGCUGGGGGGUGCCCAGCACAUUCACCCUGGUGUGGACCAUCAUCAGGAUCCAUUUUGAGGAUUAUGGAUGCUGGGACACAAUCAACUCCUCACUGUGGUGGAUCAUAAAGGCCCCCAUCCUCGCCUCCAUCUUGGUGAAUUUCAUCCUGUUCAUUCGCAUCAUUGGAAUCCUGGUUCAGAAACUGCGGCCCCCAGAUGUCGGGAAGAGUGACAGCAGCCCGUACUCGAGAUUGGCCAAGUCCACCCUUCUGCUGAUCCCCCUGUUUGGCGUGCACUACAUCAUGUUCGCCUUCUUCCCCGACAACUUUAAGGCUGAAGUGAAAAUGGUAUUUGAGCUCGUCGUGGGGUCUUUCCAGGGUUUUGUGGUGGCCAUCCUCUACUGCUUCCUGAAUGGUGAGGUGCAGGCAGAGCUGCGGCGGAAGUGGCGGCGCUGGCACCUGCAGGGCGUCUUGGGUUGGGACCCCAAAUACCAGCACCCAUCCGCAGGCAGCAACGGGGCCACGUGCAGCACGCAGGUCUCCAUGCUGACCCGCGUCAGCCCUGGCGCCGGCCGCUCCUCCAGCUUCCAGGCCGAAGUCUCCCAGGUCUGACCGCCAGGUGCCCCGGCGGGUGGGCGGCACCUCUCGCCGGCACUGCCCGCCACCCCGCGCGGCACCGGGGGCAGAGACCUCUCGGGCGAGGUCAGCCCCAGCGCUGAGCUCAGGAGGCUUCCCCGGGCCCCCAGAUCACUGUCCGGAAGCCCCUGGAGAACGCUGCCUUUGCGCCUGCCUGGAGAGAGGAAGGUACAUAGAUGGAGGAACAAUGGAAGCUCCUACCUGGAAGACGUGGGGUGAAGCUGUCUUCAGACUCCGCCCCCAAAGACUUCCUCCGCCAAUUGAGGGCAAGAAAUCUGCAUACUCUCGCCUGAUUCCACCCCGGGUAGCUCACGCCACCCACCCGACCCAUCGGAGAAAGGCCACCGCCUAUCCCCAGAGUGUGCAUUUGGGAAUGUGCUGUUAUCUCAGGCGACAAGGGUACUGCCCUGAAAGGUCACCUGCCACCACCACCUGGACAGUGCCUGAAGUUCCACCGUUGACAUCAGGUUCUUUUGGGUUAAGCAUCACCAUUCAGGCAUCUCUCCAAACAUGCAGUCCCCUCCCUCAGUGCCUCCUCAUAGCUGCCAACUCUUCGCAGUGAAUGAGUUUUUCUGCCUCCAGCAGGUGCGGUUGUAAACAAGGAGUUUUUAGUUUGGGGAGGGCAGCUAUCUCCAUAGUCCCCGCUAGGGUGGAGCUGCCCCGGGAUGGCUGGACCAAUUCCAAGAGAUUGCCUCCAGCCCUACCUAUCCUCACUGGCUCUGGGAGCUGCCCACCUAUGUGCCAACUAUUAGCACCGGGCUCAGAGAUGAUGGACGCUCACAGGCCCCUUCAUCCUCACAGCAACCCUGCAAGGUGGGCACUAUCACAGUGAGCCUCACCCAAAGCAGGCACCUCACCUUGUCACACAGACAGGAUUUGAACUCAGAUCUUGCUGAUGGGAAAGUGAAAGCACAGACUCUUAACUGCUGCCUUUUAUAUAUUGUAACCAGCUGAAUCCUCUUGCUUAUUUGUAUCACCACUGGUAUUGUUAUUUGCACCAUCCCCAAACCCCAUUCCCAUUCUCCCCAGAGUGUGGCUGAGGAGUCCUCUGGCCCGUGUAUCCUCUGGACAAGAGCCUGGGGGUUGUCACAGCCUGUAUCUUCCCUGCACCCCUGUGGCCACAAGGCUUGCUAUCCACGCCCCAGCCAGAAGAUCCCCUCGGGACUGCAAACAGGCUUGUGCAACAAUAAACACUGGGUUGGAUUA